GACUUGGAGGUUGUGCCCUUGAGGCGUGGCUUCCGGAGCUAACGCGUUAAGUCGACCGCCUGGGGAGUACGGCCGCAAGGUUAAAACUCAAAUGAAUUGACGGGGGCCCGCACAAGCGGUGGAGCAUGUGGUUUAAUUCGAUGCAACGCGAAGAACCUUACCUGGCCUUGACAUCCACGGAAUUCGGCAGAGAUGCCUUAGUGCCUUCGGGAACCGUGAGACAGGUGCUGCAUGGCUGUCGUCAGCUCGUGUUGUGAAAUGUUGGGUUAAGUCCCGCAACGAGCGCAACCCUUAUCCUUUGUUGCCAGCGAGUAAUGUCGGGAACUCAAAGGAGACUGCCGGUGACAAACCGGAGGAAGGUGGGGAUGACGUCAAGUCAUCAUGGCCCUUACGGCCAGGGCUACACACGUGCUACAAUGGCGCAUACAAAGAGAAGCGAACUCGCGAGAGCAAGCGGACCUCACAAAGUGCGUCGUAGUCCGGAUCGGAGUCUGCAACUCGACUCCGUGAAGUCGGAAUCGCUAGUAAUCGUAGAUCAGAAUGCUACGGUGAAUACGUUCCCGGGCCUUGCACUCACCGCCCGU
rnacentral:rRNA from 1 species